AACUAGCGGGGCAGUGAAAUCUUUGCUUUGUUGCUAAAGUCAACAGUGACAGAGUUUGAGCUCAAAUAAAUGCCGCGAGGCUUCCAGCCCUGUGCAGAAGGCAGCGGGAGAGGCUCCGAUACCGUUCUGCAGGCUCCAGAUCUGAACCAAUCAGCAAUCAACUUCACCGUCAUGCCAUGCCCCUUCCUUUGGCAACUGCUGGUUGAACCCUUUCCAUCAGCCACGUUCACCUGCAGCUACCCUCAGUCACGUCUGACCUGGAUGCAUGAACAAGAUAACAUUCACAUCUGCAACGUCAAGAGAGAGGGGCACAAGGAAGCCUGACAUUAAUGAUUAACUGUGCUAAGAGCCCCUGCUUUUGUAUUCCCAUGGUGCCAGGGCUAUCUGCCGAUCAUGUGACCUGCACCGAGAAGAUUGGGGGAGUGAGCGCAAAAGCAAACACAGGUGUUUGGGCUGGAGUCGGUCGGCGCUGUUAGGGACAACUGCAAACACAGGCUGCCAUGCCUGGAGACACGAACGACCGCCCACACCAACAGGACAGCCAACCGGAGACACUGAAUCAACUCUGAUGCUCUCGGCCUGCCUUUUCUCUGAACAAUUAAGACUCUUCAUUGGCCUAUUAAAGUCUGCUUUCUGAGUACAGUUUGAUCUGAGGAGCUAUGGAUUCUUAAUUAGCCAUCAUAAAUAGGCAUAGGCUUAAAUAAUAAUAAACAAAGCCUUUUUUAAAUAAAUAAACAUCAUGACUAUAAAUGCAGCUUACUUAAUGCAGAAAAAUGUGGUACAAUUAUUUAACCUCCUAUGAGGUCUCUCAAUGUUUUUAAAAUCCAGUGAAAAUCACACUGUUACUACAGGAAAAUUGUGUGGUUCGUUCAUCUAAAAGUCAACUCACUUUAAGCUAGUUUUGAGCUGAUUGAGAGAGUUGCUUGAGAUCGCUUGUCGCUUUAAAUUUAUUUCCACUGAACUCGUAUUUAAUGCAACCACAAUUAAUCCAUGAAAUACACAACUUUUGUCAAUUUAAAAUGUGUUUAAUGUAAAAUCAUUUAAGAAAAGGCAGAGCAUAUUUGAUGUAAACAAUGUAAAUUAAGUUGAAAGAGCACAAAGCUGGUGCAGAGGGACAUUUAGCCACCUGUCUCUGUGCACUGCCACAGUACUGCAAGUCAAAAAUAAAAAUAUAAAGUAGGAAAAAGCAGUUGGGGAAUGAUUAUUUAAUAAGUUUAAUUAGUCAGGUGCACAUGGUUGUUCGCAUGUAUAAAGUGCACAACAGUUAAUCUAACCAUAAUGAUUAAGAGUUAUAGUUAAGAUGAUGAUAGAGCCAGUAUACCUUUAUUGUCAUGUUAAUCAUUGCAAAAUAUAUUUAGAGCUUGCAAGUCUCUAAUUGAUAAUAAAUUGCAUUACAUUUUGUAA